rnacentral:rRNA from 1 species
GGAAAAGUUUUUCGACGAAAGGGGUAAAAAAAAUGGUUUUUAUCUGCUAUAGGAUAGGAUCGUGUUCGAUUAUGGUUGUUGGUGAGGUAAUGGCUCACCAAGCCGAUAAUCGAUAGGGGCCGUGAGAGCGGGAGCCCCGAGAUGGGUACUGAGACAACGACCCAGGCCUUACGAGGCGCAGCAGGCGCGAAACCUCCGCAAUACACGAAAGUGUGACGGGGUUACCCAAAGUGUUCAAUAGAACUGUGGUAGGUGAGUAAUGUUCCUACUAGAAAGGAGAGGGCAAGGCUGGUGCCAGCCGCCGCGGUAAAACCAGCUCUUCAAGUGGUCGGGAUAAUUAUUGGGCUUAAAGUGUCCGUAGCCGGUUUAGUAAGUUCCUGGUAAAAUCGGGUAGCUUAACUAUCUAUAUGCUAGGAAUACUACUAUACUAGAGGGCGGGAGAGGUCUGAGGUACUGCAGGGGUAGGGGUGAAAUCUUAUAAUCCUUGUUGGACCACCAGUGGCGAAGGCGUCAGACUGGAACGCGCCUGACGGUGAGGGACGAAAGCCAGGGGAGCGAACCGGAUUAGAUACCCGGGUAGUCCUGGCCGUAAACGAUGCAUACUAGGUGAUGGCACGGCCAUGAGCCGUGUCAGUGCCGUAGGGAAACCGUUAAGUGGUGCGCCUGGGAAGUACGGUCGCAAGGCUAAAACUUAAAGGAAUUGGCGGGGGAGCACCACAAGGGGUGAAGCCUGCGGUUC